rnacentral:rRNA from 1 species
GAUAUGAACCGUUAUAACCGGCGAUACCCGAAUGGGGAAACCCAGUGUGACUCGUCACACUAUCAUUAACUGAAUCCAUAGGUUAAUGAGGCGAACCGGGGGAACUGAAACAUCUAAGUACCCCGAGGAAAAGAAAUCAACCGAGAUUCCCCCAGUAGCGGCGAGCGAACGGGGAGGAGCCCAGAGCCUGAAUCAGCAUGUGUGUUAGUGGAAGCGUCUGGAAAGGCGCGCGAUACAGGGUGACAGCCCCGUACACAAAAGCGCAUGUGCUGUGAGCUCGAUGAGUAGGGCGGGACACGUGGUAUCCUGUCUGAAUAUGGGGGGACCAUCCUCCAAGGCUAAAUACUCCUGACUGACCGAUAGUGAACCAGUACCGUGAGGGAAAGGCGAAAAGAACCCCGGCGAGGGGAGUGAAAAAGAACCUGAAACCGUGUACGUACAAGCAGUGGGAGCACCCUUUGGGUGUGACUGCGUACCUUUUGUAUAAUGGGUCAGCGACUUAUAUUCUGUAGCAAGGUUAACCGAAUAGGGGAGCCGGAGGGAAACCGAGUCUUAAUUGGGCGUUAAGUUGCAGGGUAUAGACCCGAAACCCGGUGAUCUAGCCAUGGGCAGGUUGAAGGGUGGGUAACACUAACUGGAGGACCGAACCGACUAAUGUUGAAAAAUUAGCGGAUGACCUGUGGCUGGGGGUGAAAGGCCAAUCAAACCGGGAGAUAGCUGGUUCUCCCCGAAAGCUAUUUAGGUAGCGCCUCGUGAAUUCAUCUCCGGGGGUAGAGCACUGUUUCGGCUAGGGGGCCAUCCCGGCUUACCAACCCGAUGCAAACUGCGAAUACCGGAGAAUGUUAUCACGGGAGACACACGGCGGGUGCUAACGUCCGUCGUGAAGAGGGAAACAACCCAGACCGCCAGCUAAGGUCCCAAAGUCAUGGUUAAGUGGGAAACGAUGUGGGAAGGCCCAGACAGCCAGGAUGUUGGCUUAGAAGCAGCCAUCAUUUAAAGAAAGCGUAAUAGCUCACUGGUCGAGUCGGCCUGCGCGGAAGAUGUAACGGGGCUAAACCAUGCACCGAAGCUGCGGCAGCGACACUGUGUGUUGUUGGGUAGGGGAGCGUUCUGUAAGCCUGUGAAGGUGUGUCGUGAGGCAUGCUGGAGGUAUCAGAAGUGCGAAUGCUGACAUAAGUAACGAUAAAGCGGGUGAAAAGCCCGCUCGCCGGAAGACCAAGGGUUCCUGUCCAACGUUAAUCGGGGCAGGGUGAGUCGACCCCUAAGGCGAGGCCGAAAGGCGUAGUCGAUGGGAAACGGGUUAAUAUUCCCGUACUUGGUGUUACUGCGAAGGGGGGACGGAGAAGGCUAUGUUGGCCGGGCGACGGUUGUCCCGGUUUAAGCGUGUAGGUGUGUGUUCCAGGUAAAUCCGGUUCACUUUAACACUGAGGCGUGACGACGAGGCACUACGGUGCUGAAGCAACAAAUGCCCUGCUUCCAGGAAAAGCCUCUAAGCAUCAGGUAACAUCAAAUCGUACCCCAAACCGACACAGGUGGUCAGGUAGAGAAUACCAAGGCGCUUGAGAGAACUCGGGUGAAGGAACUAGGCAAAAUGGUGCCGUAACUUCGGGAGAAGGCACGCUGACACGUAGGUGAAGUGAUUUACUCAUGGAGCUGAAGUCAGUCGAAGAUACCAGCUGGCUGCAACUGUUUAUUAAAAACACAGCACUGUGCAAACACGAAAGUGGACGUAUACGGUGUGACGCCUGCCCGGUGCCGGAAGGUUAAUUGAUGGGGUCAGCGCAAGCGAAGCUCCUGAUCGAAGCCCCGGUAAACGGCGGCCGUAACUAUAACGGUCCUAAGGUAGCGAAAUUCCUUGUCGGGUAAGUUCCGACCUGCACGAAUGGCGUAAUGAUGGCCAGGCUGUCUCCACCCGAGACUCAGUGAAAUUGAACUCGCUGUGAAGAUGCAGUGUACCCGCGGCAAGACGGAAAGACCCCGUGAACCUUUACUAUAGCUUGACACUGAACAUUGAGCCUUGAUGUGUAGGAUAGGUGGGAGGCUUUGAAGUGUGGACGCCAGUCUGCAUGGAGCCGACCUUGAAAUACCACCCUUUAAUGUUUGAUGUUCUAACGUGGACCCGUUACCCGGGUUGCGGACAGUGUCUGGUGGGUAGUUUGACUGGGGCGGUCUCCUCCUAAAGAGUAACGGAGGAGCACGAAGGUUGGCUAAUCCUGGUCGGACAUCAGGAGGUUAGUGCAAUGGCAUAAGCCAGCUUGACUGCGAGCGUGACGGCGCGAGCAGGUGCGAAAGCAGGUCAUAGUGAUCCGGUGGUUCUGAAUGGAAGGGCCAUCGCUCAACGGAUAAAAGGUACUCCGGGGAUAACAGGCUGAUACCGCCCAAGAGUUCAUAUCGACGGCGGUGUUUGGCACCUCGAUGUCGGCUCAUCACAUCCUGGGGCUGAAGUAGGUCCCAAGGGUAUGGCUGUUCGCCAUUUAAAGUGGUACGCGAGCUGGGUUUAGAACGUCGUGAGACAGUUCGGUCCCUAUCUGCCGUGGGCGCUGGAGAACUGAGGGGGGCUGCUCCUAGUACGAGAGGACCGGAGUGGACGCAUCACUGGUGUUCGGGUUGUCAUGCCAAUGGCACUGCCCGGUAGCUAAAUGCGGAAGAGAUAAGUGCUGAAAGCAUCUAAGCACGAAACUUGCCCCGAG